rnacentral:rRNA from 1 species
UUGGAGGGCAAGUCUGGUGCCAGCAGCCGCGGUAAUUCCAGCUCCAAUAGCGUAUAUUAAAGUUGUUGCAGUUAAAAAGCUCGUAGUUGAACUUCAGACCUGGCUGGGCGGUCCGCUUAACGGCGUGUACUGUCUGGCUGGGUCUUACCUCUUGGUGAGCCGGCGUGCCCUUUAUUGGUGUGCGUCGGGGAACCAGGACUUUUACCUUGAGAAAAUUAGAGUGUUCAAAGCAGGCCUAUGCCUGAAUACAUUAGCAUGGAAUAAUAAAAUAGGACGUGCGGUUCUAUUUUGUUGGUUUCUAGAGUCGCCGUAAUGAUUAAUAGGGAUAGUUGGGGGCAUUGGUAUUGUGUCGCUAGAGGUGAAAUUCUUGGAUUGACACAAGACCAACUACUGCGAAAGCAUUUGCCAAGGAUGCUUUCAUUAAUCAAGAACGAAGGUUAGGGGAUCGAAAACGAUCAGAUACCGUUGUAGUCUUAACAGUAAACUAUGCCGACUAGGGAUCGGACGACCUCAAUUUUGAUGCGUCGUUCGGCGCCUUACGGGAAAC